UUAAUCAUCUAUUCCACAUUUAUCGCAGUUAAUGAUUUUGGUUGUUGUAUUUUUUUCAUGUGAUUCCUUACAUCCGUUAUAACAAUCUGAAUCCCACCAUUCGUCAAGCAACAGAGUUUUCUAUUUGAAAUUGAGGUUUUGUUUUGAUCAAAGUUGGGUUAUGCAGAUCCGACCAUAAAUCUUGAAG